AUCCAUCGAUGUCUGAUAUUAAACUCUGCUGCUGUUCUGAUCCAGUGAUGCUUGACUGUGUUCUGCUGCUGACACUCAGGAAACUGAUGCAGAUUUUCUUCACAUCAGUCCAAACAGACUUCAACACUUUCAGUUAGAAUCUCUCUCUCUUCACUGUGUGGUGGGUUCACUUUGCUUGACGUGGAUCACAAACACAGACACGGAUCCAAAAUGUGAUGCUGUUAAGAAAACGUCUACAGGCUCCACUUGCACAUUGGACAGAACCUUUCCAACAGGUUCUGGAGAACACUGGUGUGAGAUUGACGGAGGACAGAGGAGCAGCAGUGUCAACGUCACUGUCACCUCUGGUUCUGUGAUCUUGGAGAGUCCAGUUCUUCCUGUGAUGGAGGGAGAUAACGUGACUCUGAGCUGCAGAAGCAAGACUCCAAUCUCCCACCUCAAAGCUGAUGUCUACAGAGCUGACGUCCUCGUGGAGAGCAGUCCGGCAGCAGAAAUGACCGUUAACAGAGUCUCGAAGUCCGAUGAAGGACGCAGCAUCAGCAGGGAGCUGGUUGGCUGUCAGAGGUAAAACAAAUUGCACCAAAUCUAACAUCUCUGUCAUCAGCAUAUUAAACCUCUUAAAUCCAUUAGAUUGUGUUUCAAAAUAAUAAAAAACAUUGAAGAAAGAGAUGAAACUGAUAUUCAUCUUUUUGUGCUCCUGGAAUUAAGAAUUUGUGAAUGUGUAAGUUAUGUGUUGUAUUUGUGGAGAGAAAAAAAUCUACAAGUACACAACUCAGAGUAUAUGACCACACAUUUACUGAUACACAAACACAACCAGUGUACACAACUACAAAUUCCUGUUACAGGUACUCAAUCCAGCAUCCUGCUCUGCUGCCUCCUGCAGGUCAGAUCAGGAACUGCACCAUCAGGUCUGAGUCAUUUAGUUUGAUCAGCUGAUAUUGAUCUCUAACAAAUGUCACAUGUAAAUGUUUUUAAAUCAAAGCUGAAUUUAAUUAUCAAAAUACUAAUGAGAGAGAACAAUAAAUGUCAUCAAAUCAAAAUGAAACAAACCAGUUAUGAUCAAUUAAUACUACAAUCUGCUGAAGAGGACGACUGAAAGCUCCGGAACCAACCAGAGACACUGAAUUAUAUUAUACAUAACAAACACUGAAACAAUAAAACAGUAAACAUGCAGGUGUGUGUGUGUGAGUCUGUGUGUGUGUGUUAUGAUAUUUGUCUUGAUUAAAGCCGUUGUUUUCAGCCUGUAGAUUAAGUGGAUUAAAUUAGCGCUGCUGGGAUCAGAUUAGUUUGCUGUUUGUCAUGAACGAUGAUGUUAAACCUGCAGAUCAAACACGAGUCAGCAGCUGGAAACAUCACACAGAUACUCCAUUACUCCUACUGUAGCAGGAUGACGUGAACUAUCUGAGUACUGGUUCCGUGCUGGUGUGAGUGCGUUCCCCGUCAGAACCAGCCGUCCUCCUCCUCCUCCUCCUCCUCCUCCUCCUCGACCUCCUCCUCCUCCUCCUCCUCGACCUCCUCGAC